rnacentral:misc_RNA from 1 species
AACGCAUAUUGCGCUCUUUGGUAUUCCGAAGAGCAUGCUUGUUUGAGUAUCAGUAAACACCUCAAAGCCCUUUUUCUUUUUGAAAAAAGGCUUUGGACUUGAGCAAUCCCAACACUAAUCUUUUUAAAAGAGCAGAGGCGGGUUGCUUGAAAUGCAGGUGCAGCUGGACUUUCUCCUGAGCUAAAAGCAUAUUCAUUUAGUCCCGUCAAACGGAUUAUUACUUUUGCUGCAGCUAAUAUAAAGGGAGUUUGACCAUUUUGGCUGACUGAUGCAGGAUUUUCACAAGAGUCUUAAAAAACCCUUGUUAAACUCGAUCUCAAAUCAAGUAAGACUACCCGCUGAACUUAA